CUUGGAGACAGGUGCUGCAUGGCUGUCGUCAGCUCGUGUCCGUGAGAUGUUGGGUUAAGUCCCGCAACGAGCGCAACCCUUGCCUUUAGUUGCCAUCAUUCAGUUGGGCACUCUAGAGGGACUGCCGGUGUCAAACCGGAGGAAGGUGGGGAUGACGUCAAGUCCUCAUGGCCUUUAUGCCCAGGGCUACACACGUACUACAAUGGCCGGUACAAAGGGCAGCGACACAGCGAUGUGAAGCGAAUCCCGAAAAGCCGGUCUCAGUCCGGAUUGGAGUCUGCAACUCGACUCCAUGAAGUUGGAAUCGCUAGUAAUCGCGGAUCAGCACGCCGCGGUGAAUACGUUCCCGGGCCUU
rnacentral:rRNA from 1 species